UGCCAAUCCACCUUGUCCACAGUUAUUCGGCUCAAGCAAACAGCCAUUGUAUUCUGAGCCCCUGGUAGUUCUUCUCUGCCCUGAUCAUUAUGGGCUGGAAUUCCAUCAGUACGUAUCUGUGAGACCCAUCUUGAUAGAUAUUGGAUACAGUUGCAUUGAUAUUUGAGCAGAUUUGGACCCACUCGUAAUCCUCUGAAGUGAAGAAUAGCCUUGAAAAUGAC